rnacentral:rRNA from 1 species
UNUGGUGGAGNCAUGUGGUUUAAUUCGAUGCAACGCGAAGAACCUUACCUACUCUUGACAUCCACAGAAUUCGGCAGAGAUGCCUUAGUGCCUUCGGGAACUGUGAGACAGGUGCUGCAUGGCUGUCGUCAGCUCGUGUUGUGAAAUGUUGGGUUAAGUCCCGCAACGAGCGCAACCCUUAUCCUUUGUUGCCAGCGCGUAAUGGUGGGAACUCAAAGGAGACUGCCGGUGAUAAACCGGAGGAAGGUGGGGAUGACGUCAAGUCAUCAUGGCCCUUACGAGUAGGGCUACACACGUGCUACAAUGGCGUAUACAAAGAGAAGCGAACUCGCGAGAGCCAGCGGACCUCAUAAAGUACGUCGUAGUCCGGAUCGGAGUCUGCAACUCGACUCCGNGAAGUCGGAAUCGC